rnacentral:rRNA from 1 species
AGAGCUUGCUCUCGGGUGACGAGUGGCGGACGGGUGAGUAAUGUCUGGGAAACUGCCUGAUGGAGGGGGAUAACUACUGGAAACGGUAGCUAAUACCGCAUAACGUCGCAAGACCAAAGAGGGGGACCUUCGGGCCUCUUGCCAUCAGAUGUGCCCAGAUGGGAUGAGCUAGUAGGUGGGGUAACGGCUCACCUAGGCGACGAUCCCUAGCUGGUCUGAGAGGAUGACCAGCCACACUGGAACUGAGACACGGUCCAGACUCCUACGGGAGGCAGCAGUGGGGAAUAUUGCACAAUGGGCGCAAGCCUGAUGCAGCCAUGCCGCGUGUAUGAAGAAGGCCUUCGGGUUGUAAAGUACUUUCAGCGGGGAGGAAGGUGUUGUGGUUAAUAACCACAGCAAUUGACGUUACCCGCAGAAGAAGCACCGGCUAACUCCGUGCCAGCAGCCGCGGUAAUACGGAGGGUGCAAGCGUUAAUCGGAAUUACUGGGCGUAAAGCGCACGCAGGCGGUCUGUCAAGUCGGAUGUGAAAUCCCCGGGCUCAACCUGGGAACUGCAUUCGAAACUGGCAGGCUAGAGUCUUGUAGAGGGGGGUAGAAUUCCAGGUGUAGC